rnacentral:rRNA from 1 species
AUGCAGUCGAACGCGAAAUUUCCCUUCGGGGAGAAAGUAGAGUGGCGCACGGGCNGAUUAACACGUAGGUAAUUUGCCUUUGGGUGGGGAAUAACUCAGGGAAACUUGAGCUAAUACCGCAUAAUGCAGCGGCAUCACAUGAUGACAGUUGUUAAAGCGGGGGAUUGGAGCAAUCCGACCUCGCGCCUGAAGAGAAGCCUGCGGCAGAUUAGGUAGUUGGUGAGGUAAUGGCUCACCAAGCCUGCGAUCUGUAACCGGCCUGAGAGGGCGGUCGGUCACACUGACACUGACAUACGGGUCAGACUCCUACGGGAGGCAGCAGUCGGGAAUUUUGGGCAAUGGGCGAAAGCCUGACCCAGCAACGCCGCGUGAAGGAUGAAAUUUUUCGGAAUGUAAACUUCGCAAGAAUGGGAAGAAUAAGUGGGGGACAAUACCCCCCAUGAUGACGGUACCAUUUGUAAGCUCCGGCUAACUUCGUGCCAGCAGCCGCGGUAAUACGAGGGGAGCAAGCGUUGUUCGGAUUUACUGGGCGUAAAGGGCGCGUAGGCGGCUCAACAAGUCACUUGUGAAAUCUCCGGGCUUAACUCGGAACGGUCAAGUGAUACUGUCGAGCUAGAGUACAGAAGGGGCAACUGGAAUUCUCGGUGUAGCGGUGAAAUGCGUAGAUAUCGAGAGGAACACCUGCGGCGAAGGCGGGUUGCUGGGCUGAUACUGACGCUGANGCGCGAAAGCCAGGGGAGCGANCGGGAUUAGAUACCCCNGGUAGUCCUGGCCUUAACGAUGANUGCUUGGUGUCUCGGGUUACAUAGUCCCGGGGUGCCGUCGCUAACGCUUUUACANUUCCGCCUGGGGAGUACGGUCGCAAAACUGAAACUCAAAG